GGGGAUAACACUUGGAAACAGGUGCUAAUACCGUAUAACACUAUUUUCCGCAUGGAAGAAAGUUGAAAGGCGCUUUUGCGUCACUGAUGGAUGGACCCGCGGUGCAUUAGCUAGUUGGUGAGGUAACGGCUCACCAAGGCCACGAUGCAUAGCCGACCUGAGAGGGUGAUCGGCCACACUGGGACUGAGACACGGCCCAGACUCCUACGGGAGGCAGCAGUAGGGAAUCUUCGGCAAUGGACGAAAGUCUGACCGAGCAACGCCGCGUGAGUGAAGAAGGUUUUCGGAUCGUAAAACUCUGUUGUUAGAGAAGAACAAGGAUGAGAGUAAAAUGUUCAUCCCUUGACGGUAUCUAACCAGAAAGCCACGGCUAACUACGUGCCAGCAGCCGCGGUAAUACGUAGGUGGCAAGCGUUGUCCGGAUUUAUUGGGCGUAAAGCGAGCGCAGGCGGUUUCUUAAGUCUGAUGUGAAAGCCCCCGGCUCAACCGGGGAGGGUCAUUGGAAACUGGGAGACUUGAGUGCAGAAGAGGAGAGUGGAAUUCCAUGUGUAGCGGUGAAAUGCGUAGAUAUAUGGAGGAACACCAGUGGCGAAGGCGGCUCUCUGGUCUGUAACUGACGCUGAGGCUCGAAAGCGUGGGGAGCGAACAGGAUUAGAUACCCUGGUAGUCCACGCCGUAAACGAUGAGUGCUAAGUGUUGGAGGGUUUCCGCCCUUCAGUGCUGCAG
rnacentral:rRNA from 1 species